UACGUAGGGUGCAAGCGUUAUUCGGAAUUAUUGGGCGUAAAGAGCGCGUAGGCGGUUUGUCGCGUCUGCUGUGAAAACUGGGGGCUCAACCCCCAGCCUGCAGUGGGUACGGGCAGACUAGAGGGCGGUAGGGGAGAUUGGAAUUCCUGGUGUAGCGGUGGAAUGCGCAGAUAUCAGGAGGAACACCGAUGGCGAAGGCAGAUCUCUGGGCCGUAACUGACGCUGAGGAGCGAAAGCAUGGGGAGCGAACAGG
rnacentral:rRNA from 1 species